rnacentral:rRNA from 1 species
CUACGGGUGGCUCCAGUGGGGAAUAUUGGGCAAUGGGGGCAACCCUGACCCAGCAACGCCGCGUGAAGGAAGAAGGCUUUCGGGUUGUAAACUUCUUUGACCAGGGACGAAACAAAUGACGGUACCUGGAAAACAAGCCACGGCUAACUACGUGCCAGCAGCCGCGGUAAUACGUAGGUGGCAAGCGUUGUCCGGAUUUACUGGGUGUAAAGGGCGCGUAGGCGGGAGAACAAGUCAGAUGUGAAAUCUGGGGGCUUAACCCUCAAACUGCAUUUGAAACUGUACUUCUUGAGUAUCGGAGAGGCAGGCGGAAUUCCUAGUGUAGCGGUGAAAUGCGUAGAUAUUAGGAGGAACACCAGUGGCGAAGGCGGCCUGCUGGACGACAACUGACGCUGAGGCGCGAAAGCGUGGGGAGCAAACAGGAUUAGAUACCCGGGUAGUC